rnacentral:rRNA from 1 species
AACACAUGCAAGUCGAACGGUAACAGGAAACAGCUUGCUGUUUCGCUGACGAGUGGCGGACGGGUGAGUAAUGUCUGGGAAACUGCCUGAUGGAGGGGGAUAACUACUGGAAACGGUAGCUAAUACCGCAUAACGUCGCAAGACCAAAGAGGGGGACCUUCGGGCCUCUUGCCAUCGGAUGUGCCCAGAUGGGAUUAGCUAGUAGGUGGGGUAACGGCUCACCUAGGCGACGAUCCCUAGCUGGUCUGAGAGGAUGACCAGCCACACUGGAACUGAGACACGGUCCAGACUCCUACGGGAGGCAGCAGUGGGGAAUAUUGCACAAUGGGCGCAAGCCUGAUGCAGCCAUGCCGCGUGUAUGAAGAAGGCCUUCGGGUUGUAAAGUACUUUCAGCGGGGAGGAAGGGAGUAAAGUUAAUACCUUUGCUCAUUGACGUUACCCGCAGAAGAAGCACCGGCUAACUCCGUGCCAGCAGCCGCGGUAAUACGGAGGGUGCAAGCGUUAAUCGGAAUUACUGGGCGUAAAGCGCACGCAGGCGGUUUGUUAAGUCAGAUGUGAAAUCCCCGGGCUCAACCUGGGAACUGCAUCUGAUACUGGCAAGCUUGAGUCUCGUAGAGGGGGGUAGAAUUCCAGGUGUAGCGGUGAAAUGCGUAGAGAUCUGGAGGAAUACCGGUGGCGAAGGCGGCCCCCUGGACGAAGACUGACGCUCAGGU